UACGGGGGGGGUAAGCGUUGUUCGGAAUUACUGGGCGUAAAGGGCUCGUAGGCGGCCAACUAAGUCAUACGUGAAAUCCCUCAGCUUAACUGGGGAACUGCGUGUGAUACUGGAUGGCUUGGAUUUGGGAGAGGGAUGCGGAAUUCCAGGUGUAGCGGUGAAAUGCGUAGAUAUCAGGAGGAACACCGAUGGCGAAGGCAGGUCUCUGGGCAUUAACUGACGCUGAGGAGCGAAAGCAUGGGGAGCGAACAGG
rnacentral:rRNA from 1 species